CUCGGUGUUGAUUGGAAUCGAGUCUAACCCAUGAAGCUUGGCGACGAGGGAGAUUAUGUUUCAGUCUAACCCAUGAAGCUUGUCUCAGCUUCGAAGAGAUCAAAGGCAGACACUUAUGUAAUAGUGUUCUGUCAGAUUCUAUUUUGGGGACAUUGUCCCAAGGGAAAUGGUGAACUGUGGGCUUGGUAGUGCAUGCAUGUUGCGAGUUGGAAAAGAGGGCUAUUUGUUGGGAAGAGAUUAAGACAUAAGACAAUAAAGAACCAAAAGACAUGAAAGAACAAAAGUCAUGGAAGUUAUGGGCUUGGUAGUGCAUGCAUGUUGCGAGUUGGAAAGAGGUUUGAUUUGUUGGAAAGAGAUUAAGACAUAAGACAAUAAAGAACCAAAAGACAUGAAAGAACAAAAGUCAUGGAAGUUAUGGGCUUGGUAGUGCAUGCAUGUUGCGAGUUGGAAAAGAGGUUUCGAUUUGUUGGAAAGAGAUUAAGACAUAAGACAAUAGAGAACCAAAAGACAUGAAAGAACCAAAGAGUUCUCAAGUUUGGUACCCUCGGCUUUGGAAUUCAAAGACAAAAGAAUGGGAAUGAGAGGUUGAAGACAUAAGACAUGAAAGAACCAAUAGACAUGAAAGAACAUAAGGCAUGGAAGUUAUGGGCUUGGUAGUGCAUGCAUGUUGCGAGUUGGAAAAGAGGUUUCGAUUUGUUGGAAAGAGAUUAAGACAUAAGACAAUAAAGAACCAAAAGACAUGAAAGAACAUAAGGCAUGCAAGUUAUGGGCUUGGUAGUGCAUGCAUGUUGCGAGUUGGAAAAGAGGUUUUGAUUUGUUGGAAAGAGAUUAAGACAUAAGACAAUAAAGAACCAAAAGACAUGAAAGAACAUAAGGCAUAAAAGUUAUGGGCUUGGUAGUGCAUGCAUGUUGCGAGUUGGAAAAGAGGUUUCGAUUUGUUGGAAAGAGAUUAAGACAUAAGACAUUAAAAAGCCAAAAGACAUGAAAGAACCAAAGAGUUCUCAAGUUUGGUACCCUCGGCUUUGGAAUCCAAAACACAAAAGAAUGGGAAUGAGAGGUUUAAGACAUAAGACAUGAAAGCACCAAUAGACAUGAAAGAAAAGGCAUGGAAGUUAUGGGCUUGGUAGUGCAUGCAUGUUGCGAGUUGGAAAAGAGGUUUCGAUUUGUUGGAAAGAGAUUAAGACAUAAGACAUGAAAGAA